rnacentral:rRNA from 1 species
GAUGAACGCUGGCGGCGUGCCUAAUACAUGCCAGUCGAGCGAACAGACGAGGAGCUUGCUUCUCUGACGUUAGCGGCGGACGGGUGAGUAACACGUGGAUAACCUACCUAUAAGACUGGGAUAACUUCGGGAAACCGGAGCUAAUACCGGAUAAUAUAUUGAACCGCAUGGUUCAAUAGUGAAAGACGGUUUUGCUGUCACUUAUAGAUGGAUCCGCGCUGCAUUAGCUAGUUGGUAAGGUAACGGCUUACCAAGGCAACGAUGCGUAGCCGACCUGAGAGGGUGAUCGGCCACACUGGAACUGAGACACGGUCCAGACUCCUACGGGAGGCAGCAGUAGGGAAUCUUCCGCAAUGGGCGAAAGCUUGACGGAGCAACGCCGCGUGAGUGAUGAAGGUCUUCGGAUCGUAAAACUCUGUUAUUAGGGAAGAACAAAUGUGUAAGUAACUAUGCACGUCUUGACGGUACCUAAUCAGAAAGCCACGGCUAACUACGUG